AACUGCCAUCAAAACUUUUUAGCUAGAGUAUGAUAGAGGAAAGCAGAAUUUCUAGUGUAGAGGUGAAAUUCGUAGAUAUUAGAAAGAAUACCAAUUGCGAAGGCAGCUUUCUGGAUCAUUACUGACACUGAGGAACGAAAGCAUGGGUAGCGAAGAGGAUUAGAUACCCUCGUAGUCCAUGCCGUAAACGAUGUGUGUUAGACGUUGGAAAUUUAUUUUCAGUGUCGCAGCGAAAGCAAUAAACACACCGCCUGGGGAGUACGACCGCAAGGUUAAAACUCAAAUGAAUUGACGGGGACCCGCACAAGUAGUGGAGCAUGUGGUUUAAUUCGAAGAUACGCGCAGAACCUUACCAACACUUGACAUGUUCGUCGCGACUUUAAGAGAUUAAAGUUUUCGGUUCGGCCGGACGAAACACAGGUGCUGCAUGGCUGUCGUCAGCUCGUGUCGUGAGAUGUUGGGUUAAGUCCCGCAACGAGCGCAACCCUUACUUUUAGUUGCCAUCAUUUAGUUGGGAACUCUGAAAGAACUGCCAGUGAUAAGCUGGAGGAAGGUGGGGAUGACGUCAAGUCCUCAUGGCCCUUACGUGUUGGGCUACACACGUGCUACAAUGGCAUUUACAAUAGGAAGCAAGACGGCGACGUCAAGCAAAUCCUAAAAAGAUGCCUCAGUUCGGAUUGUACUCUGCAACUCGAGUACAUGAAGCUGGAAUUACUAGUAAUCGCGGAUCAGCGUGCCGCGGUGAAUACGUUCCCGGGUCUUGUACACACCGCCCGUCACACCAUGGGAGUUGGUUC
rnacentral:rRNA from 1 species